rnacentral:misc_RNA from 1 species
AAAAAAAAUUAUAGCUUUCCAACCGCAAUUAAGGAAAGACAGACAGUUGUCCAUAUACUGUUACAUGUUCCAUUGUAAGUUACUGCAAUAUUAAGAUAGAUCCUAUUUUGUGAGAUAAAAGAUCUCCAAAAUUGAAUUAAGAAUAAAUACUAGCAAGAAAUCUCAAUCAAAAGUUUGUAUUACAAGAAGUGGUUCCAGGAGAUUCUAUGUUGGAGGCCUGUUAAUCUCAAGGCUAUGUUCAUU